rnacentral:misc_RNA from 1 species
AAAGUCGUAACAAGGUUUCCGUAGGUGAACCUGCGGAAGGAUCAUCACAGCAUGGUAGAGGGUUGCACAUUGUGACACCGUGAAUGGUAUGGAGGGCUGCGGGGUGGGUUGGCGGGGUAGAGGGGGGGUGAGAGGAGCGUGACACGCGACGCUUGCCACCGCCCGCCGAUGCACCCAGUGGCCGCAUUCGUGUACACUACACUAUGCAAACUAUGCAAACACAAAACAGUAAUAACACACAACUUUCAACAAUGGAUCUCUUGGCUCUC